rnacentral:tRNA from 1 species
UCAUAACACAUACUUUUUUUCCAGAUAUAUCACAUCCAUUUUUUUAUGGAUGGGGGUA